GGUUGUAUAGUGUAGUUGGUUAUCACAUCGGAUUCUGAUUAUGCGAUUCAAUCGUAAUCAUUCCGGGGACCUGAGUUCGAAUCUCGGUACGACCU
rnacentral:tRNA from 1 species